rnacentral:rRNA from 1 species
GACGAACGCUGGCGGCGUGCCUAAUACAUGCAAGUAGAACGCUGAAGCGAGGAGCUUACUCUUCUUGUAUGAGUUGCGGACGGGUGAGUAACGCGUAGGUAACCUGCCUAGUAGCGGGGGAUAACUACUGGAAACGAUAGCUAAUACCGCAUAACAAUGGAUGCCACAUGUCAUUUAAUUGAAAGGGGCAAUUGCUGCACUACAAGAUGGACCUUCGUUUUAUUAGCUAGUAGGGUAGGUAAACGCGCACCUAAGGGACCGUACCUAGCCGGCCUUGGAGGGUGGUCGGCCCAACUGGGACCUGGACCCGGCCCAGACUCCUACGGGAAGCCGCCGUUGGGGAUCUUCGGCCAUGGGGGCAACGCUGACCGAGGAACGCCCCGUUGGUGAAUAAGGUUUUCGGGUCGUAAAGCUCCUUUUUUUGUCAAGAACGGUUGUUAGAGUUGAAAGUGCACACUGUGACGGUAGCUUAUCAGAAAGCGACGGCUAACUACGUG